CUCGUCGUCCCACCGCUGUCCGGCAGGACACAGCUUCCCCUCGCCUUGGCCUUCGCACUGGCACUCACCUGACCGCAAUGGCGACUGACCUAAUUCAUCAGAGGUCCAGCAAACUGGUGCUUGCGGUCUCACAUUUAGUGAUCAGUAUUCUGGUCCAGUUUCCAGCCUGGAUAGCAGCUGGCUUCUGUCAGUCCGUUCUGACAGACGCACUCGCAGGUGG